CCUACGGGAGGCAGCAGUAAGGAAUAUUGGUCAAUGGACGCAAGUCUGAACCAGCCAUGCCGCGUGCAGGAUGAAGGCCCUCUGGGUUGUAAACUGCUUUUAUAGGGGACGAAAAAGGGACUUUCUAGUUCAACUGACGGUACCCUAGGAAUAAGCACCGGCUAACUCCGUGCCAGCAGCCGCGGUAAUACGGAGGGUGCAAGCGUUAUCCGGAUUUACUGGGUUUAAAGGGUGCGUAGGUGGGUCGGUAAGUCAGCGGUGAAAUCUUCAAGCUUAACUUGGAAACUGCCAUUGAUACUAUCGAUCUUGAAUCAUCUGGAGGUAAGCGGAAUAUGUCAUGUAGCGGUGAAAUGCUUAGAUAUGACAUAGAACACCAAUUGCGAAGGCAGCUUACUACGGAUGUAUUGACACUGAGGCACGAAAGCGUGGGGAUCAAACAGGAUUAGAUACCCUGUAGUCCACGCCCUAAACGAUGGAUACUCGACAUACGUGAUAUACUACGUGUGUNUGAGNGAAGANAUAGUAUACCACCAGAGUAGAGNGNGAGAGUAGAACGACGAAGAAGUAGAGCGAGAGAGAGACGACGGACGACGACGAGGGAGGAGG
rnacentral:rRNA from 1 species